rnacentral:rRNA from 1 species
GUCCACGCCGUAAACGUUGGGCACUAGGUGUGGGGACUUAUCAACGGUCUCCAUGCCGUCGCUAACGCAUUAAGUGCCCCGCCUGGGGAGUACGGCCGCAAGGCUAAAACUCAAAGGAAUUGACGGGGCCCGCACAAGCGGCGGAGCAUGUUGCUUAAUUCGAGGCAACGCGAAGAACCUUACCUGGGUUUGACAUGUAGAGAAAAGCCGUAGAGAUACGGUGUCCUUCGGGGUUCUACACAGGUGGUGCAUGGCUGUCGU